CUUUGGAUGAAAAGGCAGAACGUUUGUUUCCUGGUCUUCAGCUGAUAAAAGACUCUUCUCUCUUUUGAAUCAGAGGACUCUCAUCACUGAAGAUCUUCAGACAGCCAAGUGUUGCCUGGACCACUGCUCAACCAACUAACCAGUAAUUCAUCAGCCGAGUUAAAGCACGAGUGAACCAUGAAGAUCACGGUAGCUGUCCUGCUGCUGCUCUCUGCUCUUGGACUCUCUCAAGCGCUGAACUUCUAUGACAAACAUGUCAUCCGUGGAUUGCAUACUAAUGAGUGUGAUAAUAAAAUGGUACGGAUCGUUAGAGACUGUCGAAGGUGCAAGCCUGUAAAUACCUUCAUCCUUGAACAAAAUAACAAUAUAGCAAACGUCUGCCGGGGCAUAAGAAAUGGCAAUGGUUUUCUUCAAAACCCUCGUGGUUUUGUUUAUAGAUAUAGUAGAGGAACCUUCCCCAACUGUCAAUACACAAACAAUUCUCCAAUCCCACGCAGGCUUCGAGUAAAAUGUGAAAAUGGUGUGCCUGUGCACUUGUUUGGUCAAAUAUGUAGAGGGGUGCGGGGCAUAUGACCGGGCCCUUUGCAGUGGGCCAAGUGAUGGAUGAUGACGUAUGACUUUACUAGACGGCUGUUGAUGACGAACGAUUUUACCCAAAAUACAUUUGGAGAUUCACUUGCAAUUUUUGUUUUAAUGUUAACUGUGAGUGUGAAAAUCUCAGCACAACAUAUUAUACAAUGCUUUAUACCUAAUAUGAACCGAGUGGUACCACAAAAAAAAAAAAAAUCUCGCAGGCGGGGCCCAUUGGGCCCCGGGCUGGGGGAGUACCGCCCCCCCCAGCCCCCCCUGAAGCCCCGCCCCUUUGUGAAGAUGAAGAUUAAUCAUAUGUUGGAUUUUCGGUCUGUUUAAGUUUGGUAAACAAUGCAGAAAAUAAUCAAGCACAGCUGAGAUGCAUCACUUUCUCACAUUUAUUGAUCUUUUUUUUUUACCACUUUCCACUGUCUCUUCAUGAUUUUGCUGUUUCAACCUGAUCUGUGUUUUAUUUUAUGUACGGAUCUAAUGUGAGAGUUUCUUUCUUUUUUUUGUCUCAUCUGAUUUCUUCUUAAAAAUCCAUUGUUUGUUGUUUUGUGUUGAUUAUAAAAGUGUCAAUAACAAGUUUGGGGACAAACAACAAAAACAAAACUGUCUUUGCACGCGAUGACCAAUCAGAGCAACAACAAGGUGGCGUAUUCAGCGUGUGUUGUGUGGAGGAGUACAUUAAAAGUUUUCCGUAGCCUGUCUGCAAA